GUCCUCUUCAAGGGCCAUUCGAUAAAAUUCAAACAAUAUAGAGACGAUUAGUAUGACCCCCUACAUUAGAAUGUACAAAUAAAUUCAGCUCAACUAUUAUAACUUAU